UGGGGGAUAUUGCACAAUGGGCGAAAGCCUGAUGCAGCGACGCCGCGUGGGGGAUGAAGGCCUUCGGGUUGUAAACUUCUUUUGCUCUGAACAAGGCGCACCAUGGGGUGUGUUGAGUGUAGGGGUUGAUUAGCGCCGGCUAACUACGUGCCAGCAGCCGCGGUAAUACGUAGGGCGCGAGCGUUGUCCGGACUUAUUGGGCGUAAAGGGCUUGUAGGUGGCUGGUUGCGUCUGUCGUGAAAGCUCAUGGCUUAACUGUGGGUUUGCGGUGGGUACGGGCUGGCUUGAGUGCAGUAGGGGAGGCUGGAAUUCCUGGUGUAGCGGUGGAAUGCGCAGAUAUCAGGAGGAAUACCGGUGGCGAAGGCGGGUCUCUGGGCUGUUACUGACACUGAGGAGCGAAAGCAUGGGGAGCGAACAGG
rnacentral:rRNA from 1 species